AGAAAACGUGCAAUUUCUUAUUCGAUCUAAUUUAAAAACUGGUUCCCUACUUUUUGCAAGUUUAGGAAUCGUAUGGUGGUGUGCAGAUAGAUAUCUUGAUAGAAGAUAUCGCACUCCGAUAAUAUUAAAGUAUCCCAUCUUGCAAUAUAUGUAUAAAGUUGUGUUUGUACUGUAUUCUGUUUGUUUAUUCAUAUUGUGUAUUGAGAUUUUGAAAUAAAAUUAUGAUAAG